rnacentral:tRNA from 1 species
GCGAGUGUGUUGGAACAGGCAGACAACCGAGACUUAAAAUCUUGUGCCCUCUGGGCGUGCGGGUUCGACCCCCGCCACUCGCA